AAAUGAUGAAAUUCACCCAACAAGCUGGAAUUACCGGCAGAUUGCUUGGUGGUGAGCCCAAGGUUUUCUGAUU
ensembl:snoRNA SNORD65 small nucleolar RNA, C/D box 65